ensembl:lncRNA
UUUUUUUUUUUUUUUUUUUUUUUUAUGGUGUGGUGUUUUAAUUUUUUUUUUUUUUUUUUUUUUAAUUAUUAUUCUUUUUUUUUUAGAAGAUACCAUUGCAGAGUCAAAUAAUGUGACAUACUCAGAAGUCGGGAAAAGAGGAAAGAAAUGCAAAAGUAAAGAUAUUAAUACUGCAGGACCCAGUGAUUUGACUUACGCACAGAUCAAUAUACAGGACAAGAAGAAAACCAAAGGCAAAGGUGCUGGACUUUCUGAUGUUCUGAUUGAAAUGAAAACUAAGAACAAACACAGAGGGAAGAGCAGUGAGUCUGGAGACACUUUGUACUCUGAACUGAAGCACAACACAGAUAGAGAUGCUGAUGCUGAAGUUGGUGAUGCAACUUAUGCUGCACCUAUUAGGAAGAAGAAUAAAACCCAUGCUGAUGCUGAAGUUGGUGAUGCAACUUAUGCUGCACCUAUUAGGAAGAAGAAUAAAACCCGUCCCUGAGUGCAGAGAAGACAACAGACGGCUAAAAGAGAUUCACAGCAGCAGACACAGUAACGCUUGCAUUGCUUAAAAAAUUAAUCUGAGUGAACUGCUUAUGCACAUGCUUGAUUGAAAUACUUUAGAGAUAUGCAGUGUAUUAUCUGUACACAUUUUAUGUAAGCAAAAAAAUUUAUCUAUAAUAUUUAGUACAACAUUUUCUCCAGUGGGCACUUAUGUUUAACACAACUCUAAAUGAAACUGUCCUAAACGUUAUUCCAUUAUUCUGUUGGUGCUGCACAACAGUGUAAUAAAUAGUGUAACUGGGCAUUUAGUUGAUAAAAU